CGCUUCCAACCAGCUUUUUCUCUCCAAGUGCAAGUGCAGCUCUGUCUCCGUGCUGUGGGCUCACACUGCUUCAGCUCUUCAAGACAGAUGAUUUUUUUUAACUCCCAAGCUUUUUCCCUCCAAGUGGCUGUGCAGUUCUGUCCUGCUGACUGCUAACAUAGCUUCAUCUCUUCAAAAGACAAGACAACAGGUAUCUUCCACCAAGAUGUCUGUUGAAAUGGAAAUGACCUUGCACAGUAACA